UACGUAGGGUCCGAGCGUUGUCCGGAAUUAUUGGGCGUAAAGAGCUCGUAGGCGGUUUGUCGCGUCUGCCGUGAAAGUCCGGGGCUCAACUCCGGAUCUGCGGUGGGUACGGGCAGACUAGAGUGAUGUAGGGGAGACUGGAAUUCCUGGUGUAGCGGUGAAAUGCGCAGAUAUCAGGAGGAACACCGAUGGCGAAGGCAGCUCUCUGGGACGGUACUGACGCUGAGACGCGAAAGCGUGGGGAGCGAACAGG
rnacentral:rRNA from 1 species